UACGUAGGGAGCGAGCGUUGUCCGGAUUCAUUGGGCGUAAAGAGCUCGUAGGCGGCUUGAUAAGUCGGAUGUGAAACCUCCAGGCUCAACCUGGAGUCGCCAUCCGAUACUGUCAUAGCUAGAGUCCGGUAGGGGCCCACGGAACUCCUGGUGUAGCGGUGAAAUGCGCAGAUAUCAGGAAGAACACCAGUGGCGAAGGCGGUGGGCUGGGCCGGUACUGACGCUGAGGAGCGAAAGCGUGGGGAGCGAACAGG
rnacentral:rRNA from 1 species